CAUGCAGUCGCACGGGUGGUUUCGGCCAUCAGUGGCGGACGGGUGAGUAACGCGUAGGAACGUGUCCAGAGGUGGGGGACAACCCCGGGAAACUGGGGCUAAUACCGCAUGGGGGCUGAGGCCCAAAGCCGAGAGGCGCCAUUGGAGCGGCCUGCGUCCGAUUAGGUAGUUGGUGGGGUAAAGGCCUACCAAGCCUGCGAUCGGUAGCUGGUCUGAGAGGACGACCAGCCACACUGGGACUGAGACACGGCCCUGACUCCUACGGGAGGCAGCAGUGGGGAAUAUUGGACAAUGGGCGAAAGCCUGAUCCAGCAAUGCCGCGUGGGUGAAGAAGGUCUUCGGAUCGUAAAGCCCUUUCGACGGGGACGAUGAUGACGGUACCCGUAGAAGAAGCCCCGGCUAACUUCGUGCCAGCAGCCGCGGUAAUACGAAGGGGGCUAGCGUUGCUCGGAAUUACUGGGCGUAAAGGGCGCGUAGGCGGCGGCCCAAGUCAGGCGUGAAAUUCCUGGGCUCAACCUGGGGACUGCGCUUGAUACUGGGUUGCUUGAGGAUGGAAGAGGCUCGUGGAAUUCCCAGUGUAGAGGUGAAAUUCGUAGAUAUUGGGAAGAACACCGGUGGCGAAGGCGGCGAGCUGGUCCAUUACUGACGCUGAGGCGCGACAGC
rnacentral:rRNA from 1 species